CCGGUUGUCUUCACUGUAGUUUUCUCGAAUGUAAUCUUAAUCGUAGAUGUUCCUGUAUGUGCAGAUGUAUAAAAAUGACACGAGUCGUGAGAUAGGAAAACGUACUUUAGAGCUUUUGUACUGCAAAAAGAGAAGCAAUAAUACCAAAAUUCUUGGUCCAAAAGAUAUGAGAACAGACAGAACCAACCUGUCAAUUCAAAUUUGUGGGCUAAAGUGGCAGUCACUUCAACUGGCGGUAAAGGCCAGGGAGCACCUAAUUCGAGCUCCACUAUGUUGUCAAAAUCCUUGCUUAGUACAUCAAUUCUUUGAAAUACCUGAUCAAA
rnacentral:lncRNA from 1 species